rnacentral:rRNA from 1 species
GUCGCUACUACCGAUUGGAUGAUUUAGUGAGGCAUUCGGACUGACUGUUAGUGGGAUCUCGUGUCCUGCUGAUAUGUUGGAAAGAUUUUCAAACUGUAUCAUCUAGAGGAAGUAA